AUUGAACGCUGGCGGAAUGCUUUACACAUGCAAGUCGAACGGCAGCACGGACUUCGGUCUGGUGGCGAGUGGCGAACGGGUGAGUAACAUAUCGGAACGUAUCCAAUAAUGGGGGAUAACGAGUCGAAAGAUUCGCUAAUACCGCAUACGCCCUACGGGGGAAAGCUGGGGACCUUCGGGCCUGGCGUUAAUGGAGCGGCCGAUAUCUGAUUAGCUAGUUGGUGAGGUAAAGGCUCACCAAGGCGACGAUCAGUAGCUGGUCUGAGAUGACGACCAGCCACACUGGAACUGAGACACGGUCCAGACUCCUACGGGAGGCAGCAGUGGGGAAUUUUGGACAAUGGGCGCAAGCCUGAUCCAGCCACUCCGCGUGAGUGAAGAAGGCCUUCGGGUUGUAAAGCUCUUUCGCAAGGGAAGAAAACUUAGCCACUAACAUUGGUUGAGGUUGACGGUACCUUGAUAAGAAGCACCGGCUAACUACGUGCCAGCCGCCUCCGUAA
rnacentral:rRNA from 1 species